ACAAUUUUGUUUCGAUCAAUAAAAAUGGUGGAAUGUAUGAUAAGGUCUAGCUGAGUAUAUGGUUGAAAUGGAGGAAAGAAAAAUUUUAAUAACCAACGAUAUCAACUUUAUUAACAGAACAACUACAAUGAACACGUACGAAAGAAUACAGCUUAGCAAGGACCUACUAAAUGCUGCUUCGAAAAAUGACAUUGAGAAAUUAGAAAGGUGCCUAAAAGGAGGGGCAAAUAUAAACUAUCAGAACGAGUGGGAUAGUAAUACUGCACUUCACGAGGCUGCAUUGAAAGGGCACACCGAAAUCAUAAAGAGGCUAAUCGACGGUGAUAUUGAUAUUAAUUUUCAGAAUGCGCUUGGUAAUACUGCACUACAUGAAGCUGCAUCGAAAGGGCAUAUUAACAUCAUAAGUUUGCUUAUCGCCGGUCGUAUCGAUAACGAUUUACAGAAUGUGGAUGGUUCGACCGCACUACACGAAGCCGCAUUGAAUGGUAACAUUCAUUCUGUCCGAUUACUUAUUGACCAUUCUUCUCAUGUCAAUAA